GCAGUGCCCAGAUGACGCGGGGCUGGAGGCUCGCAGGCAGGACCUGAGUUGUAGGGGAAGUAAAGGAGCCACCCUUCACCCGCACCCUCUCGCUGGGAGCCCCUUGCUCUGAACCCAUGCUCCCUCUGAGGAAAGACCAAUUCUGCUGGCACCCCGUGUCUGGGCUUUGGAAGGCAUGGCAGAGCAGCUGGAUCUGAAAGCACCAUCCCCAUAGGUAGAAAUCCUCCUCUACACCACGCGCCUUGCAAGGAAGGCAACGAGGGGACACGUGGAGAGCCCAAACGUCUGGCAUCGAGGAGCAGAGAUCCACCUCGCACUGCCCUGAAGGAAAGUUUGUUCCCAAACUGAUUACGCUGUGGCGUUCGGUGCUGGUGUCAAAUCGGUUCAAGCCAUCCCAAGUGUAAAAUAAAGAUCUCCGCUUGGGUACGCCCAUCA